rnacentral:rRNA from 1 species
ACGGGUGAGUAACGCGUAGGCAACCUGCCCUCAGGAUGGGGACAACGGCUCGAAAGAGCCGCUAAUACCGAAUGACGUAACUCUUCCACAUGGAAGAGAUACUAAAGAUGGGUCAAACCAUCGCCUAAGGAUGGGCCUGCGUCUGAUUAGCCAGUUGGUGAGGUAACGGCUCACCAAAGCGACGAUCAGUAGCCGGUCUGAGAGGAUGAACGGCCACAAUGGGACUGAGACACGGCCCGUACUCCUACGGGAGGCAGCAGUGGGGAAUCUUCCGCAAUGGGCGAAAGCCUGACGGAGCGACGCCGCGUGAGUGAAGAAGGUCUUCGGAUCGUAAAGCUCUGUUGUCGGGGACGAAAGAGUAGACGAGGAAAUGCGUCUACUAAGACGGUACCUGACGAGGAAGCCACGGCUAACUACGUGCCAGCAGCCGCGGUAAUACGUAGGCGGCAAGCGUUGUCCGGAAUUAUUGGGCGUAAAGGGAGCGCAGGUGGGACGGUAAGUCCGUCUUAAAAGGCAGGGGCUCAGCCCCUGUAAGGGAUGGAAACUAUCGAUCUUGAGUGCCGGAGAGGAAAGCGGAAUUCCCAGUGUAGCGGUGAAAUGCGUAGAUAUUGGGAAGAACACCAGUGGCGAAGGCGGCUUUCUGGACGGCAACUGACACUGAGGCUCGAAAGCCAGGGGAGCGAACGGGAUUAGAUACCCC